CACGGAGGGUGCGAGCGUUACCCGGAUUUACUGGGCGUAAAGGGCGUGUAGGCGGCCCGUUAAGUCCGGUGUCAAAGCCCACGGCUCAACCGUGGAAAGGCGCCGGAUACUGGCGGGCUAGACGGACGGAGGGGGUAGCGGAAUUCCCGGAGUAGCGGUGAAAUGCGUAGAUACCGGGAGGAACGCCGAUAGCGAAGGCAGCUACCUGGACGUCCCGUGACGCUGAGGCGCGAAAGCGUGGGGAGCAAACCGGAUUAGAUACCCGGGUAGUCCACGCCCUAAACGAUGAGUGCUGGGUGUCGGGCUUUGGCUCGGCGCCGUAGCUAACGCGUUAAGCACUCCGCCUGGGGAGUACGGCCGCAAGGCUGAAACUCAAAGGAAUUGAC
rnacentral:rRNA from 1 species